UUUAAGAGGGGUAGGAAAGCGUCUCAUCAGCUGAGGAGAAUGAUUCAGAGAGAAGGGUCAGGGCCAAACAGUUCCGUCUGUGAAAGCCCGCUGAGAAGGGAGAACUCUUCUCGGAGAGAGGGAGCGGCCAGAGAGCCGGCAGGGCCUCGGGCCUGACCCCGCCUCAGGCCUUUCUCGAGUCCUGGGCCUGGUCCGGGGCAGCCUCGAGGCGCCGGUUGCUGGGGGAGCAGUGACGUUGCGGGGUGAAAGUUGAGGGGCGGUGACGUCGGGCCUCCCGGGCGGAGGCCGGGGGAUUGGAGGCAGGAGGAAGGGAGGGAAAGAGGGAAGGAAGGAAGCUGGGAAGGAGCGAGCGGGGGCGCGAGGCGUUUACCAGGAGGCAGCGGCUGGGGCGCGCACAGCGGCCGCGGCUCCCCCGCACCUGCGGCCAUGGACGAGGAGCGCGCCCUCUACAUCGUCCGGGCCGGCGAGGCGGGGGCUAUCGAGCGGGUCCUGAGGGAUUACAGCGACAAGCAUAGGGCUACUUUCAAGUUCGAAUCCACAGAUGAAGAUAAAAGAAAGAAACUCUGUGAAGGUAUAUUUAAAGUCCUUGUAAAGGAUAUCCCAACAACAUGUCAAGUGUCCUGUCUAGAAGUUCUCCGCAUUCUCUCCAGAGACAAAAAGGUUUUAGUUCCUGUAACAACCAAGGAAAAUAUGCAGAUACUGCUGCGACUAGCCAAGCUAAAUGAGUCGGAUGAUUCUUUGGAGAAGGCGUCAGAGUUCCCAGUUAUUGUGGAGUCCUUGAAAUGUCUGUGUAAUAUAGUAUUCAACAGUCAGAUGGCACAGCAGCUUAGUCUGGAUCUUAACCUUGCUGCAAAGCUCUGUAACCUUCUGAGGAAGUGCAAGGACCGAAAAUUUAUCAGUGACAUUAAGUGUUUUGAUUUGCGCUUGCUUUUCCUCCUGUCACUUUUGCACACCGACAUCAGGUCACAAUUGCGUUAUGAGCUCCAGGGACUACCGCUGCUAACCCAGAUCCUGGAAAGUGCCUUUAGCAUCAAGUGGACCGAUGAGUAUGAAUCAGCCAUAGACCAUAAUGGACCUCCUCUCUCACCUCAGGAGACAGACUGUGCCAUUGAAGCCCUUAAAGCUCUCUUCAAUGUGACAGUAGACAGUUGGAAAGUGCAUAAAGAGAGUGAUUCUCAUCAAUUCCGUGUCAUGGCAGCUGUCCUUCGCCAUUGUUUACUAAUCGUAGGUCCAACUGAGGACAAAACAGAAGAGUUGCACAGCAAUGCAGUCAACCUUUUAAGCAAUGUUCCGGUCUCUUGUUUGGAUGUUCUCAUUUGUCCCUUAACCCAUGAAGAAACAGCUCAAGAGGCAACAACUCUAGAUGAAUUGCCCAGUGAUAAAACAGAUGAGGAGGGAACAGUUUUGCAAAGCAAUACCAUGGUAUACAAUGGUAUGAAUAUGGAGGCCAUUCAUGUUUUACUCAGUUUUAUGGAGAAGAGAAUAGACAAGGGAAGCAGCUAUAGAGAGGGUCUAACUCCAGUCCUCAGCUUAUUAACAGAAUGCUCCCGAGCCCAUCGAAACAUCAGAAAAUUUCUCAAAGAUCAGGUUUUACCGCCUUUGAGGGAUGUGACAAAUCGACCUGAAGUUGGUUCAACUGUGAGAAAUAAGCUGGUACGCCUCAUGACACACGUUGACCUUGGAGUCAAGCAAAUUGCUGCUGAAUUUCUUUUUGUCCUUUGCAAAGAGAGAGUGGACAGCCUGCUGAAAUACACUGGCUAUGGGAAUGCCGCAGGACUGUUGGCAGCCCGAGGCCUCUUGGCUGGAGGAAGAGGAGAUAAUUGGUACUCAGAGGAUGAGGACACAGACACUGAAGAAUACAAAAAUGCAAAACCAAACAUUAAUCUUAUCACUGGUCAUUUAGAGGAACCAAUGCCAAACCCCAUAGAUGAAAUGACAGAAGAACAAAAAGAAUAUGAAGCCAUGAAACUUGUCAACAUGCUUGAUAAACUUUCCAGGAGAGCAGAUGUGAAGGACCUGCACCAGGAUGGUGGUUAGCAUCAGUGGCUCCUGCCAAAGCACUUACCAAAGUGAUGACUAAGGUUGGUCAUGCCCAGUAUUGUUACUCAGCCUGGUGUAGGGUAUAGCUGUUAUUCACUAUCAACUCUGUAAAACCACCAAUGCAAAAUUUAAGAUCAUACUGACAUUUUUAUUUUAUCUUCAUGCCGAACAUCGCCACUCCACCUCACCAGCUAGAUUUCCAAGAACAUAAAAUAAAAGAGAUUGAUGCUCAGACAUUCUCUUCCCACUGAAUACCAACUGACAAUAUUCUCAGCAAAAUAAUAAGUGAUUUAAGUUUAAGUAUUUGUGGUGGCAGGAGACUUAAGAGUCUGCGAAUAACCUGAACUCUGUAGCCCCACCAUGCCCAGCUAGUACAGUGCCUUGCCUCCUGUGGUUUCCCCAGUUUGACUGCUCCCCAAAUCUAUAGGCUUUUUUUUUUUUUUUUGCUUUAUAUAGUAGUCCAUAUGGUUUAAGACUUUAAAGAAUACCUUUGUAAAUUUCAUUUCCUAGCAAGAUUUCAUGAGGACUGGGAAGGAAAUCCAUAAGAGACUUUGGGCCAUGACUGGCUGAUCCGUUAGGAUCUAGGACUCUGCUAUGGAAAUAAGCACUGAGACCUGAUAUUAUAGAAAGCCUUAUGUGAGAGCAGGGGUGAAAAAAAGGUGAUGAAAUUUGCCAGCCCUUCCACUUUCUUUCUCUUGAAUUGAGAAAAAAAAGAAAGAAAGAAAGCCUUAAAGGAAGGGAGAUCAGAACAGGGAUUGCCUGUGGUUAAUACAAUUGCAUUUACCUUAACUACAGCACACAACUCAACUAUACAAUAAUGCAGCCUCCUCCAGAAAAGAGAGAGAAUUGAUUGGCUUAAGCUGAAACUAAGUUUCUGUUUUAACUUUUUAAGUCCCCUUCCUUAAUUGGAAGACGGACUGAUUACUGUUUUAACCACAAACACUCUGUUUAUCAAAAUUAUCUUCUAGACUAUCUACUUAAAAAAUAAUUGCCAGCCAUUGCAUACUAUUGGGAUAUGACUUUAAUAAAUGUAGACAGUAGCAUAAGAGAAAUUCCUCAUAGUCCAAAGAUUUCUAGCUGGAACAGCUACUUCAUACCUGAAAAGAUACUUCUUCCAUUAUAGCCAAGUUACCCGGCUUACAAUUUUAACUAUAAUUAUACCCCUCUUUGUAGGGAAUGGAGGAAAUAUUUUUCAGAACACUUUAGGAGUGGGGUCCAGUUUUUAAAGCUUGUGAGAUCUGUUGUAGAUAAAAUAAAAAGAUCUUAGAUCUGUGCAUGGUUGCCACAGCCUGGACUGGGAAGUCCUAUAUAAAUAAUGAAGUUCACUGACUUUCGAAGACUCAGUGCAAAAAAUAGACUAUCUUAGUAGGGAUUUUAUAUUUAAAAUAUUUUGAUGUGUUAGCACAUUUUUUUCAAUAUGACUACUAGAACACUUACAGAUUAUGUAUAUAUGGUAUACACUUGUGGUUUACAUUUCUGUUAGUAAGUGCUGUACUAUAUCAUUAAUAUACACUAUAAAGAUUACGUAGGACCCAGCCAAUAUUCCAGCUAGACAACUCUUACCUUUUGGGAGGCAUUACCCCUUAACUCAGCAGUAGGAAAUGACUGAGCUCUUAGUUUAAGUACCAGAUGCAGUGACUUCUAUUUGUUAGAGAUACAUGAAGUAAGAACAGUCUCCACUGGUUAUUUGUUCUUAGUUAUUACUCUCUUCUAAAUCUGAUUUUGAAGAGCAUGUAAGAACUUACUAUUUCUUCAUUCAGCAGUGUCAUUUGACUUGCUGGUCUCUUGUAUUUCCUUUCGGACAUGAUAGGAAAGGUCUACGGAUGAAUUGAAUUACAUAGAAAUAAUCAAGAAAACAUAAGGAUAAUGAGUCUUACUCUGCAAGUGCUAACCUCUUCCUCAGCAUUUUUUUUAUCAUGCUGUUUAAUGUGAGGUAGGUAGCCAAUUUUAGAGGCUUUGCAUGUGAUCUAACAGAAAUGAGAAUAAUAAGACUAAUAUUUGUGUGGUGUUUUAAAUUCUUCUCUCUCUAUUAUCUCUGAGUCAGGUAUGAAGUACGUUGAACCAGAGAUUAAAUGACUGGCUCAAGGUCAGGCAUCGACUUAGUUCUCACUCUUCAGAUUCCAAAUCAUUCUAUUUGAAAAAUCUCUCAAAAAAUCCAUCAAUAUCAUUUUAAAUGCAGAAUAUCUUAUUUAAAACAGCACAAAGAAAAAUAAGCACAUUUUUCUAAGAAGAGAAUUGUGAUUUGGAGGCUAUAUAUUGCUUUUUUUUGAAUUCCAUAGUGAGAGCGUCUCAAAUAUCAGGUCAGGUGCUGUACUGUAUCUGUACAGCCUGUACUGCAUUACAAACAAAAAACCUUAGAUGGAGGAAAUUAAUAAUAUAAAAUCUUUCAGUUAUUCCAACAAGAAUGAUCAUAGAUAUUCUAACAAGUUUUUAUGUUUAAUAGGAUCACAUUUUCAAAAUAUUUGUGGCAGAGACAGCUACACCAUUGCUUCACCACUCAGAGCCUGGAUCCUUACACCAAUGAAAAAAAAAAAAAUGGACAAAGCUUCCUUAUGGGGCUGUUACACUAUAUAGCUCACCUCCCAAAUGAUCCCAGUCCCAAAGCUAGAUGGUAAGGACUGGAGAAAGAAUAUUUUAUUACUGAUAUUUAAAAGUAUACCAUAAGAGGGGUGGGCAUAUAAUUCUACACUGUUCCCUCCAUCAGAAACUGCAAUAGUUCUCAACUGGGGAAAAAUUAAGUCUAACAACUUGAAAUGGGAAAUCUACCACACCCAUUCUAUUCACUGGGUUGGUGAAAGAGCUAAGAAAAAUGAGGCACCAGAGUCCAGUCCAAAAGGACACUAUGUAGCUGAAUACCCAGCAUCAAAGUAUUUCUAUAAGAAAAAAGGUUUAAACAUACUUAAAGGACUGUUACAAAUGACUAGGAAAUCCAUUGUACUUCAAUGGAUUAUAUAGAUUAUAUCUCAAAUAUACACUCAAUCAUAGCAAAAGAUUACAGAGCUUCUUUCUUGGGCUAUCAGCCUCCAUUUUAGUGAACAUUUUGGGAAAAGCUCUAUUAAUUAAAAUACUUUACUUAUGUACUAAUUUAUCAUCCUGCCUUUCAAAUGUGAAAAGAAACUACACAUAAAAUGGCUAAUUUAAAAUGUCAGCCUUCUUUUUUCCAAGCCAGCCUUACAUUAAAAGCAGGAAUCCCUUGCCAAAGAAAUGGUUCCCAAUUAUCCCAUCUUGGGUUUUCUUAUACAUUGUACAGAAGUCAACAAAACAAGUAUGUAACAGAACCUGCCAAAUAGCAGCCACCCUCAUUAAAAACAGAGAAUUAAUCGGGGUGAUUGAAGGAGUCAAUGCUUCAUAGAUUCCCCCCUUUUCUAAUCAUAGAACAAAAUAUGUUACAUAAAAGGAUCAGAACUAUUAUGUAGUAUUCAAUUAGAGGGAGGUGAAUAGGUCUCUAACAUGCUGUUUUAUCAAAAGAGCAGACUGGUGUUUGCAUGACUGUUGUUUCAUUACAGACCCUGUCAUUAAUUCCAUGUGUCAAUACUGCCCUGUAGUACACAGAGCAGACAAGAAAGAAGAGCCCUUGAAAACAAGGGAAUGAUUUUUGAGUCGUUAUCAAGCUAAGUGGCAAGCGGGAAGCUGAAACUCGUAUAGUUGAACAUUCUUGGAGGCUUAUCUCUUCCCUGGCCAGAUGCCUGAUCAGAUGAGAAGCCCGCCAUGAUACUGUCACAGUGCCUAGAAUGGGCUCUUUAUCCAGUAGCCAUCACUGUACUUUUUGAUGAUAACGAGGGCAGUCUUAACUUGUGUUAAGGCCUGUGUAUAGCAUUGAAGAGAGGAGUUGCUUAAACCAAUGGGACUGAAACCUGAUGGGACAAUAACGCCUUUGGAAGAAGCACUCAGCCAGUACUCUGUCAUCGAAGAGACCAGCUCUGAUACAGACUGAAAACAUCACCUGCUCAACUCUCAGUAC